GCAUAUUUAACAUUUCGGAGAUUCUAUAUGUGCUGUGCCUGCAAUAUGAUUUACUGCACUGUAUAACUGAAACAAUAUAAUAUUUUCCAGGCUGGUCUGUCUGGUCAAGCUAUAGGCUUACUUAAUGGUGUUGUGGAAAAAACUUUGGAUCCUUUGUUGAAUACUGUGAUAGACACCGUGGGAACUCUUUUAGGAGGCAUUUUAAACCCCAUUCUUUGUAACAAGGAUGGAGGUCUUCUAGGUCUUGGAAUUUCACUUGGAAAUCCAGUCGGCAAAUGAGUCACAGGAUUCCAAUUGAAGCAAAUCUGCUUCCAAAGGAGAAAACUGUUUCCGAAUAUUUGCAAACCAAUAUUUAUGAUUUCCUGGGAAUAUCAUUCUCAUUGGAUCGCCCAUGUUUUGGAGAAGUCUUGAUUGUUGCUUUAUUUCCUGAAUGAUUUUUUUAAUCAAUAAAAU